rnacentral:rRNA from 1 species
ACGGGAGGCAGCAGUGGGGAAUAUUGCACAAUGGGGGAAACCCUGAUGCAGCGACGCCGCGUGAGCGAAGAAGUAUUCCGGUAUGUAAAGCUCUAUCAGCAGGGAAGAAAAUGACGGUACCUGACUAAGAAGCCCCGGCUAACUACGUGCCAGCAGCCGCGGUAAUACGUAGGUGGCAAGCGUUAUCCGGAUUUACUGGGUGUAAAGGGCGCGUAGGCGGGGAUGCAAGUCAGAUGUGAAAUCUAUGGGCUUAACUCAUAAACUGCAUUUGAAACUGUAUCUCUUGAGUGUCGGAGAGGUAGAUGGAAUUCCUUGUGUAGCGGUGAAAUGCGUAGAUAUAAGGAAGAACACCAGUGGCGAAGGCGAUCUACUGGACGAUAACUGACGCUGAGGCGCGAAAGCGUGGGGAGCAAACAGGAUUAGAUACCCUGGUA